rnacentral:lncRNA from 1 species
ACCGCGGUAAAGAUAUCGCGCCAUAGACAGUGACUACCGAGUCGGGUUACAUUUUGUAGUAGCGUUCCUCUACUUCAUCUUUUGUAUUUGAUGAAUUGAGACGUAAAAGAAAGAAUGUAAUGUUUAUCUCGAGGAGAAUGUGAUGUAAAAAGAAAUGAUGGAAAGUAUGUAAUGAACUAUGAAUGUACAAGUUAAAUGCAAUGUAUGUGAUCAAAAGAGAAUCAUAGUACUUGUGUAGAUGUUUAGUUUCCCUUCUUUCACUCAUGGUUAUUGCUUACCCUCGUGUAAGCCGUUUGUGUAUGUUUCCGCUAGUGCUUUUCUCUACUUGAAAAAUGUACAGGUGAUGAGCCUUGGGCGGACAGGGGAAACUCUGUCCGUUCGGCGUCU